rnacentral:rRNA from 1 species
UACGGGGGAUGCGAGCGUUAUCCGGAUUUAUUGGGUUUAAAGGGUGCGUAGGCGGCGCUUCAGGUCAGCGGUGAAAGUCUGUGGCUCAACCAUAGAAUUGCCGUUGAAACUGGGGGGCUUGAGUACAGUAGAGGUGGGCGGAAUUCGUGGUGUAGCGGUGAAAUGCUUAGAUAUCACGAAGAACUCCGAUUGCGAAGGCAGCUCACUGGACUGCAACUGACACUGAGGCUCGAAAGUGUGGGUAUCAAACAGG